UUUGCUUUUCCUGUGUAUAAAAUUCUUUUUCCGUUGCACCGAUUGUUAUGAAUGUACCAGUUAGGAAUGUGUUUGGCCACAAACCACAGAAAACCCAACCGUUGCUUAAAGAAACAGGAGUUUAUUUUACUCACAUAACACAAGAGCUUAAGGUAAACAGUUAAGGAGUCUUGGUGUAGCAGCUUGAGAAGGGCAGGGGAUGUGUCUUUUGCAUCUUGUGCCCUGGUCUUCAAAAGAUGCCCACGGCAGCACUAGCCCCCUGUCAGCAUUUUGACAAGAAGGAGAAGAGAGGGGAGAGGAGUGCCUAAACCCCUCUAGAGACCAAGCCUGCUUCUCACUAGCUGCAACCUUUGUCACUCCAUCAUCUCCCGGUGGCAAGGAAGGAGCAGUGGUGGAGGGGGAUAAGAAUGAGAGUCAGGUCAGCCAGAUGAGUCUGUUUCCUCCCCUGGUUUGUAGUACAACUGUUGGUUUGUGUGUGUUGAUCUCAUAUCAGCUGCCAUACUAAACAUUCUUAUUAAUUUUAGGAACAUUUUGAUUGACUCCCUUGCAUGGUCCAGAGAAAUGACAGUCUGUCUCUUUGGUUCAGGAGCUGUACCUCAUUUUAUUUAUUUUAUUAUAUAUUUUAUUUUUUAUUUUCUGUGGCAUAUGGAAGUUUCCAGGCUAGGGGGUGAAUUGGAGCUGCAGCUGCAAGUCUACAUUACAGCCAUAGCAAUGACAGAUUGGAGCUGAGUCUGUGACCUACAUUGCAGCUCAUGGCAAUGACAGAUACUUAACCCGCCGAUCAAGGCCAGGGAUUGAAACUGCAUCCUCAUGGAUACUAGCUGGGUUCCUUACCACUGAGCCAUAACAGGAACUCCAAAGAUGUGGACACUUUUUUUCUUUUUUUGGCCACCCCAAGGCAUAUGGAGUUCCCAGGCCAGGGAUCAGAUCUGAGCUAUAGUCACCACCUAAGCCACAACUUCAGCAACACUGGAUCCUUAAGCCACAGUACCAGGUCUGGGAUCCAACCUACUUUCCAGCACUCCCAAGACAUUAUAGAUCCCAUUGCACCACAGCAGGAACUCCUCAUUUUAAAAGGUAUUUUUUGGGAGUUCCCAUUGUGGUGCAACAGAAAUGAAUCCAACUAGGAAGCAUGAGGUUGCGGGUUCGAUCCCUGACCUUGCUCAGUGGGUUAAGGAUCUGGCAUUGCCAUAAGCUGUGGUGUAGGUCGCAGACAAGGCUCGAAUCUAGCGUUGUUGUGGCUGUGGCAUAGGCUGGCGGCUACAGUUCCGAUUAGACCCCAACCCGGGAACCUCCAUGUGCCACGGGUGUGGCCCUAAAAAGACAUAAAAAUAAAAUAAAAAGUAUUUUUCUUUGUGGUCUAAUUGCACUGGGUGGCAUCCUGUUUUUGUCUUAUGGAUGCAGUCGCCUUUUAGAUCUUUUCGAAGAUGUUCAUCGGAAUAAUUUGUUUUGUUUUCUUUCCGUCCCUUAAUAAUCUUGAAUCCUCGAGGAAGUUCUUCAUUGUUGUUUUGUUGUUAAAGGCUGUUAGUUUUCCCUCAGUAUUUAGUAAACCUCAGUUGUUUAUUUAACAUGAAUAGUCAUGGAAAGACUAGGUUCAUUAAUAGAGGCGGCUAAUACAGGUCUCCUCUUGAUGCAGUAUUUACCUGUUUCCUCUGCCCGAGGGGGCUGACCGGGACUGGUUGGCUUCCUUGAGAUGCACAGGCAGGUAGCACAUUUGCUUCCUGGGCAGAGGUCUUUCCCUAUCACAUCUUCCCUUUCUUCGUCUGUUCUAAAGGUCUGAAGUUACUCAUACUCUACCUUCCUCCCUUUUAAAAGCUUUGUACGCACACAGGAAGCCCACGGGCAGGAUAUUUCUUAAGAGAGGUGUUCUGAGAGUUUAGCCAGGAGUUAAAAGCAGCUCCUGCCAGUAGCUCUGCAUAAACCAAGAGAAAAGGGACACCUGCCAGCCUCUGCUGUUCCAAGGGGAGUUCUUUAGGGAACCCUCAAGUCCUCUCCAGAGCCUCCUCUUAAGACUGAGACUUCUCUGAAUUUGUACUUCUCUCCUACUCCUGGUCUGGGCUGUUUCUUUCCCUCACAUCCUGUUCUCAGUCAACACCACUCAUUCCCUUUCUAUCUUCUAGGAUUCUUUAGACUUUCUUGUCAGCAGACAAAAUUUCCUUUUAUUUUUUAGUAUGCAAAUGAAUUUAUUUUGCUUAAACUGUCUGUCUUUUUAGAAACUUCAGGGGUGGUGGGGGGUGUAGAUGCAUGUGUUUGGGCUGCCAUCUUGAUUCACAGUUCCCCCCAGGGUGAUCCUAACAAAAUCAUUUACAUGUGGCCACUUCACAAGGCAAACAAAACACAGCUGGGUGGUGAUUAAUUGUUAAGUAACCAUUCUGUACUCUGUAAAUCUUUCAAUAAUAAAAACACUGUCAGUUUGAUGUAUAAUGAUGCAUUUUUAAGCCUCAUUUUGAAGAAAUGAAUGUUGAUACUUUAAAGUACUGAUUGACUGUUUCUCAAAGUGUUCCCUUCCCACCACCCUGCUAAAUUGAUGUUUGUCUGCAUUUUGUGUACUUGUCUCACUCACCUUGGAGACAAUUUCUUUAAAAAAAUUUUUUGUAGCUAGAUCUUUUCUGACAAUACAAAAUUUCCUGAAUGGGAUGCUUAGAUAAUAUUGAUGCCUAGGAAUUAUCAAAAGAAGUUCAAAUUCUGUAGUUUGUUGUUAUUCCUUCUUUUCUUUUGCCUGAGGGUCGAAGAAUCUUUUCUGUUUUCUUCCGAAAUGAAAUGUUCCAUUAAAGGGAGCUACUGUAUUACCAUAACAAUAUAUUUUGUGUUCAGCUCACUUCCAGGGGUGACUUGCCUAUCCAGCAGGAAAGCCCUGAAAGUUCAUCUGAUGACUAGACUGAUAAAGUUCAGUGCAAAAGGAGGACUAACUUCCUUGCUAACCAUGGAGUGUAGGAUCAAGUCAUUGUCACUAUAAACCCAUGACACUCUCUAUAGUUAUAUGUGAAAAUAAAAAGGAAUAAAACAUGCUUGUUUCAGUGGUGGGCUCUGUUUUCCCAUCCUCAAAAACUUUAUAGUAUUAAAAUGUUCCAAAAAUUGUGCCACGUGAAACAAGCAUCCAAAAACAAGACACCAUGCCCUGAAAUAGUAAAGUUAAAUGGCAUCUAUAAUUCAAAGCUUUUCUAAUACAGUAUUGCCCAAGAUUCCACAAAUGAGAACACCUUCUUAAUUCUCUCUACUUAUUUUAUCUACUUAUUUUAUUUGGAAGGGACAGUAGUAUUACACCCGUUGGUAUAGAUGAGCCUGAGUGAAUAAUCAUGCUAGAAAUUAUUGAAUAGCUCAGUACAGUAGACUUAAAAAUAAUAGCAAGUAUCCCUUAUCUGUUAGUUCUAGAACUUAUUAGUUUACUAUUACCAACUUGGAAAUAUAUUUCUAGCACUUCGUUCAGAGAAAGGGAUGUUAUUAAAUACAUGACUGUAACUUAGUCUGCGUUGGCCUAGUUUGUAAGCCGGAGUUUGGAGGGAGAAUACAUUGAAUUUUUUUGCUAAAUGGGGUUUUAGGAUUACUUUAGAGGAAAUGAUAAUUCCACAUAUGGCUUUCAUUCUGGUUAGUUUUCGAUUAUGGAUUCUACGCUUGUUAGUAAGUGUUCCGCCUUCUUAGAACUGGGCAUCUCAAUGGCCAAGAGAGAAUGUAAGAGUCUUUGGACAAACAGUCUUGUUGGACCAGAAAUGUUGUCAGUAUUUCCUCAAAAAAGCGAUCUGAAUGUUUGUCUUUAUUCUAAUUUAAAUCACACGGUGAUUUACUAAGGCUUUAAAAAUGCAAUUUAAUCCUGUUCAGUUGUCAAAGAGGGGUGAACAUACAAUGAAAUGAAUUAACUAGGCCAAUCAUAAUCAAACACUGAAGAAAACCAAGCAGACUCCAUAUGCCAAGGGUUUUGCAAACAGAUCUCAUCCUGCCUGGGAAGACUUGACUGUGUGACUGUGUGUGUGUGUGUGUGUGUGAGUUAACUGGGGGAGGUAAGACAUCCUUAAGGAAGGAGCAUUACUCCUUUCAGGAGAUCUGUUCAUGUGACUUUCAACAAAGCAUCACUAAAGCCGUCAGUGUAUUACCUGAGAAGCUAAAUUCUUCUGGGAUCUGAGGACAGAAUUUGAAGCCACAAUGAAGGCAGCCUCUUCUCAUCUUACUUGACUAAAGGUGACACUCUUAUUCUCUCUGAGGAUAAUUUGUUCAUUUGCAAAAAUAGCAUUGUAUCUGGAACAAUCACUGAAUAUUCCCUAAACUCAAGCUGAGAAGUAUUGCUGUGAAGGGGGGCAGCAGGAUAGCAUUAAGAAGAGAGGAUCCAGGCUAAGACAUUGUAGCCCUCCCUAUAGGCUGGCUUUUCUACUGAUUACUUAUGUGACCCUGGGCUUACGGGAAGUUAUGAGUGACCCAACUGCAGUGAGUUCUGGGUUCCCUCAUCUGUAAAAUGGAGAUAAUGACCUCAUGAUGUUGACCUUCAGAUUAAGCGGUAUAAAUAAAAUGCUUAGCACACUGCAUGACACACUGUAAGUGCUCAAUAAGCAUUAACAAUGAUUAGUACUAUUAUUAUUAAAGCAAUGAAAAAUAGGAAAACUUUGCUUUAUGCAGUAAAUACUUAAUGAGCAUUUACUAUGUGUGAACCCUUGCUAGAGACUGGAGACCAGGACUCUGCAGCUCUUUUGGUUACAGAAGUUAAUUUCUGCUUCCUGAUUUUUGAAGGCAAAACUUUACAGUACAGCAUUGCCACAUUAAAAAAUUUAAGACUCAUGUAUUUUAGUUACGUUAAAUGAAUGACUGCAGCAACAACAAAUUCAAGUAUACUUCAGCUGACUUCUGUCUCAAAUGCAAUAUGGGUAGGAGAGUUGUAUUCAGGAUUGUAGAUGAAAGAAAGGAGCCCGUAUUACACACCUCUGGGAUUCGUUUGCAAGGAUUAUGAUUUUUAUUUUUAUUCCCCUCACUGUUUGAAAUCUGAUACCUGCUAAGAUGUUCACAUAUGGAGCUACCACCUAAGAUGUGGGUUUGUGUCUGUUUGAGCAUGGAAUCCCCUUGACAGUUAUGUUUGCUUAUGCAUCUCUAACAGCUGGAGGAAGAAUCACCUCAGGCUAUGGUGUGUGAUCUGUGUCCCACCCUAUGCACCCGGCCCCCGCCCCCCGCAACCACAGUGAGUGCACUUUGAGGUCCACCUUCCUGGAGAAGGAGCUUUGGAGCAUGGUGACUGGGGGCUGGGGACUUGUCUGGGCUUCUCAUUAAUCUCUGAAGAUGGGAGGGUAAUCCCUUUACAAAUAUGGGAAUGGGGGCUGCUCCGAGGCUGGCAAGUAAUAAGCAAUGAGGAUUUUUUUUUUUUGUCCUGGAUUCCUCCAUCCCUCCUCUCUGCAGUCCUCAGCCAUAACUCAGCCCUUGUCUUCCUCUCUGAAGGAUUUAAAUGGAAUGAUCUUAAUUCUCGCUUUGUUUGCACUCUAUCUUUUAAGGAGCUGCCAUGAAGACCAAGACAAACAGUAGAUUAACAGUGGUACCUUUUAUAAAGCUGAUUAGUUCCUAAAAUAUGCCGAAAGGAAAC
rnacentral:lncRNA from 1 species